rnacentral:rRNA from 1 species
UAGAGUUUGAUCAUGGCUCAGAUUGAACGCUGGCGGCAUGCCUUACACAUGCAAGUCGAACGGCAGCACGGGAGCUUGCUCCUGGUGGCGAGUGGCGAACGGGUGAGUAAUACAUCGGAACGUACCCAGGAGUGGGGGAUAACGUAGCGAAAGUUACGCUAAUACCGCAUAUUCUGUGAGCAGGAAAGCGGGGGAUCGCAAGACCUCGCGCUCUUGGAGCGGCCGAUGUCGGAUUAGCUAGUUGGUGAGGUAAAAGCUCACCAAGGCGACGAUCCGUAGCAGGUCUGAGAGGAUGAUCUGCCACACUGGGACUGAGACACGGCCCAGACUCCUACGGGAGGCAGCAGUGGGGAAUUUUGGACAAUGGGGGCAACCCUGAUCCAGCCAUGCCGCGUGAGUGAAGAAGGCCUUCGGGUUGUAAAGCUCUUUCGGCGGGGAAGAAAUGGCAACGGCUAAUAUCCGUUGUUGAUGACGGUACCCGCAUAAGAAGCACCGGCUAACUACGUGCCAGCAGCCGCGGUAAUACGUAGGGUGCGAGCGUUAAUCGGAAUUACUGGGCGUAAAGCGUGCGCAGGCGGUUUCGUAAGACAGACGUGAAAUCCCCGGGCUCAACCUGGGAACUGCGUUUGUGACUGCGANNNNAGAGUACG